GCAUUUUUAGAGAAAUAUCAAUGUUUCCCUAAUGUGCUAUUGAUUGUUGGCGACAUGGCACAUGUAUUAAAGUCUUCUGUUACAGUUGACUCAGCAAGAAUGAAGACAUUGAU
rnacentral:lncRNA from 1 species